UACGGGGGGGGCAAGCGUUGUUCGGAAUUACUGGGCGUAAAGGGUUUGUAGGUGGCUUGCUAAGUCAGACGUGAAAUCCCUCAGCUUAACUGGGGAACUGCGUCUGAGACUGGCAAGCUUGAGUACAGGAGAGGAACGCGGAAUUCCAGGUGUAGCGGUGAAAUGCGUAGACAUCUGGAGGAACACCGGUGGCGAAGGCGGCGUUCUGGACUGUAACUGACACUGAGGAACGAAAGCCAGGGGAGCAAACGGG
rnacentral:rRNA from 1 species